AGACUACAAGUCCCAGCGGGCCGCUAGCGCACCGCGCCACGUGUUUUCUCCUCCCGCCAAUGGGCGGAAGCGCCGCGUGAGCCUGCUCCCGCCCCCCAGGCUCGCCUGAGCCAAUCGGAAGGGGCGGGGUGUGUGUGUGUGUGUGUGUGUGUGUGUGUGUGUGCGCGUGUGCGUGUCUGUGAGUGUCUGUGUGUGUGUGUAUGUGUGCGCGAGGGCAAGUCGGGAGGGGGACCCAGCUCAGGACUGGGAGGCCCUGCUCGCAGGUCCCUGGGUCCCGGUGGCGGCCGGAGCACUUGGUCCGCAGGCAGCGGGCGGGUGGUCGCCCCUCCCGCCCCCACCCCGCGCGUGCGCGCCCCGGCCUCUCCCUCCCCGCCACCCUCCUCGGCUCCCGCGCGGCGGCGGCGGUUGCUCUCCCACUCCCCCCAGCCCUGGCUCCGGGGGACCCCGCGAUGCCGGUCCGCACCGAGUGUCCCCCGCCGGCCGGUGCCUCCGCUGCCUCCGCGGCCUCCCUCAUCCCGCCGCCGCCCAUCAACACCCAGCAGCCCGGCGUGGCCACCAGCCUGCUCUACAGCGGCUCCAAGUUCCGCGGCCACCAGAAGAGCAAGGGGAACUCGUACGACGUAGAGGUGGUGCUGCAGCACGUGGACACGGGGAACUCUUACCUUUGUGGGUACUUGAAGAUUAAAGGCCUUACUGAGGAGUAUCCAACCCUUACAACCUUCUUUGAAGGAGAAAUAAUCAGCAAAAAACACCCUUUCUUAACUCGCAAGUGGGAUGCAGAUGAAGAUGUUGAUCGGAAACACUGGGGCAAGUUUCUGGCUUUUUAUCAGUAUGCAAAAUCAUUUAAUUCAGAUGACUUUGAUUAUGAAGAGCUGAAGAAUGGAGACUAUGUCUUCAUGAGGUGGAAGGAACAGUUUCUGGUCCCAGAUCACACGAUCAAAGACAUCAGUGGUGCUUCUUUUGCCGGGUUCUACUACAUCUGCUUUCAGAAGUCAGCAGCCUCCAUAGAGGGCUACUACUACCAUAGGAGUUCAGAAUGAUACCAUGAGAAUCAGUUUAUGCCUAUGCUAGCCAUAAAGUUCUUAGGAUAUGACAGCCUGGCAUUACAUGCUACAGCAGGAGAGGGCAGAGCAGCAGGUAUCAGUCCCUCAAUCUAACCCAUGUUCCUGAACACAGUGCACCCAUCUAUGAAUUCCGGUGACAACGGUUCAGAACAGCAACCAAAUAAAACUGAACUUGGCAAAAAAGAACUUUGCCGAGAAAAUUGUGUACCUGCCAGAACCAGGAGAAGUAUGUUCCUGUUUCUUCACGAGCAGACUCGCAUCACAAAGCAUGAAUGUUAACCCACAGAAUCCAAGGAGCAUGGCUGGCCCGUGGGGCAGGUGGAGGGAGCGGUCUUCGUUCUUCCUCCCCUCAGUGGCAGUUUGGUCUUCACCUGUUUUUAAGCUACCUUAAACGCACUUUUCCUUCCUGCACAGCUAACUUCUACAUCACUGAAAUGCCCAUUCCUUCCUCCGUCCCACCUCCAGCCGAGUAGAAGGUCUGCUCCCGGAUCACCCUCAGCCUUGGUGCUCAGUGGUCCCCAGGCCCUAGACCCCCACCCCCCGCCAGUUGCUUUGUCUGGUAGCUCAAGAGAAGGCAGAGCCCCAGCACCUCUGUGCCCCCCAGAGCUCUGUGCAGGGAGUUGGCCAGCUGCCGCAGCAUCGGCCACCAGCGACACAAGAGGCGGAGGCCCCGGUCCCUGCUGGGCUGCCUCAGUCUUCAGUGCCGAUUGUGUCACGGGUCAGCGUGCGCUGCUGAACCCUAUACUGUUAACAGUGCAAAGCUAGUGAGUGGCUGUCAGGUUCCCUGGGCCUGCCAUCAGGGAUCACUAAAUUUAAGGCUUCCAGAUCCCUGGCAGGAACAGAUUCCAGUCCUGCUUACUCAGUACAUUUGCUCCAAACUUUUGAACUUGAGGGCAAUACUAAACUUAAAAAUAAGAGUUUUUUUAUUACAAAAUUAUUUUUAUGGUCCCUUUAACGAGGACCCUAUGGCAAAUGCACAAUUAUUCAGAAUUACAUUUUAUCGUUUUCACAUUGAAAACAGCAAAUGUUGACUUAGUAAUUUUUAUAUCGAUAUCUAUAUGUAUAUGUAUAUUUAAUCAACCAGCAGUUUUGAAACUAGUCAUCCUGGUACAAAAGUUUUGCAGCAUUGCCUAAAUUAUAGUGCUCAACACAAGAACUGUUUUUGGGGCCAGUUUAGCAUUUGUGCCGCCUCCUUUUGCUACUCAAAACAGCAGUGCUUGGCGGCAGCCUUCCAUGAGGCAGAAGGGGUCGUCGUUCUCUGAAAACAGUGACUCUGAAAUGUUGGGACAGGGGAAGGGGUGGGAAACAUGAACAUGCUCAAAUAACUCGAGGCUCACGUGCCAAAGUGUGUGUGUGUGUGUGUGUGUGUGUGUGUGUAUGGUGUUUUGUUUUUUCAAAUGUUUAAAAAGCUUAAUAGGUUGGCAUCAGUUGUAGCCCACAAACAUGGGUAGGGCUUUGGGGAAUUGACAUUUUUCUGGUGAUUUACAAGACUUACUCCGAAUACAAGAGGAAAAGCUUUAAAAACAAGAUUGCAUCAUAACCCCCAGGAGCAAAGCAACCUGGAGGCUGCAUAUCCACGGGCGGGCAGCAUAAGAGAACGUGAAGCCCUUCAGUAAGACGAGACGAGCAAUGGGAAACCUUUUCUGUUCUUAAGAAGUGACUUUAAUUUUAUUGACAUAUGUACUGUAUGUUACUGAGAUUGAAUGUUAGGGGAGGCCUUAAGGGAGAGGUAUUUGGGAAAGUAGCCAGUGGCACUUGUGAUAUCUAAAAUCUGUUAUCCCAGGACUGUACAGAGGGGCAACCCACCCAUUCAGGAAGGUCAGGGCUUUGGAACCCUAAAAAGUUGGCCCGAUGGCUUAACGGGAAAAACAGUUCAUUCCCAGAGAUGAGUCAGAACAGUCUCCUCAAUCCUGAAAUUCAACAAGGCAUCAGAAGGGCUGGCUGUGGUCAAGCCCAGCUGCUCUCAUGUGAGGAGAUGCUCACUGUGGUUUUGUUGAGCUAAUGGCCUUGGUUGAGCUGAUGGACAAGUGAAGGAGGCCGUGGGGCUGUGCUGUCCUUCCUGCCGUACGUGCCAUUCCACUCUCUUCAGCUCUCCCCAUAACGGCAUGCGAGCCCAUACCUUCUGCAUUUUUCCAGGCCUAUGAGGGAUAUAGGCCUCCCCUUGGAGCACUGAGUCCGGAGGUCAUCCCUGAGCUCGUCCAGGGCUCAUGCUGUGGCUCCGAGUAGUGGUUUGAGUGGGCAGGAAGGGCCAUUUGCAAACACUGCUGUGUUCUAGACAAACAAGCCAAGUCUCAUUGCAGGAUUUCUUCCUUCCUUCUGUUUUUACCCAGGUAAUGAAGUGCCCAUUGUACUGGGAAAAAUGAAGAGGUGAUACCUUUACUAGAUCCUUCAGACACAUCUAUGAGAAGAUUUGUUCGCUUAAAAGUCUGCCCACUGAGGAUAGGGAAGGGAUUAAGGAUUUUUCCACCUCCUCUUAGUAACUCCUGAAUUACCAACAUCAACUUCUUUCUCUCUGUUCCUGAAGGAACUUUGGGGAAUCAUCUUCAUCCAUAGUUAUGCUUUCCUGAACCUUCUCAGUGGUUUACAUGCCUCUGAAACUAUGUGCAAUAUUUUUGGUUGACACUUGUAUCCAUCCUUAAGAAAUUAGUGCAGUUUGCAGAUAUUCUACUGUCUUCCACCCCAAACAAGCCUGCCAUGAGGUGGGAUCCUAGGGGUUUGGCUGUUCUUACUCCACUGCUCAGAAAGCUUCCAUUCUGCUGUCCCCAGCCUCUACCCUCUUCUGUGCUGGACUUCCAUCCACCCACCCUUUUCAAGUUUAGAUAGCGUUUCAGCUGCGGUCCCAAAGUAACAAUACCUACUGUUAAGUAGGAAGUCAAUCUGUGUACUGGUUAUGUUGGUUAUGUUGAAAUCACAAACUCCAGAGGAGCAAAGGGGUUUUUCAAUGUCUUUUGCUUUCAGAAACAGAGAAUAUAAUAUUCUCACUAAGGCCUUGAAUUGAUUUUUUUCUCAUAAAAUAGUCUGAUAAGCUAAUUUUUAAAAAGAAAUGCCAUUAACUGUUGUAUUGUGGUUUAAAAUUACUAACAAGUUGUGGGAAAGAAAAAUAAUAUUUGAUUUUGAAUCUUAAAUGUUUUUAAAAAUUAGACUUGAAUGGGCACAAAGUAUAAAUAUUUGGUUUCUUUAUGGAGGACAUGUGGAAGGAGUUUGAGGGUUUGGGAUGGGAGAAGUAUUUUGCAGAGCUAUCAAUGUCCAAAUAAUUUUUAAAAAAUAAUAAAGGUAUUUAAGCAGUGA